rnacentral:rRNA from 1 species
AACGUAGGACGCAAGCGUUAUCCGGAGUUACUGGGCGUAAAGCGCGGGCAGGCGGCUCGAAACGUCUGAUGUGAAAUCUCCUCGCUACAACGGGGAGAGGCCAUUGGAAACGGUCGAGCUGGAGGGCAGUAGAGGUAGGCGGAAUUCCGGGUGGAGUGGUGAAAUGGCGUAGAGAAUCCGGAGGAACACCAGAGGCGAAGGGCGGACCUACUGGGCUGCACCUGACGCUGAGCCGCGAAAGCCAGGGGAGCGAACGGG